rnacentral:rRNA from 1 species
GACGAACCGUGCGAACGUUGUUCGGAAUCACUGGGCUUAAAGGGCGCGUAGGCGGGCGGUCAAGUCUGUGGUGAAAUCCUCCGGCUCAACCGGAGAAUAGCUGGAGAUACUGAUCGUCUCGAGGGGGGUAGGGGCAUGUGGAACUUCCGGUGGAGCGGUGAAAUGCGUAGAUAUCACUUGGAACGCCAAUGGUGAAAACAGAUAGCUGGGGUUGUGCUGACACUGAGACACGAAAGCCAGGGGAGCAAACGGG